GCAAGUUUGAGUAGGAGAGCCAUGGGAAUAGGGGAACUAAGGAAUUUCUGGCAUCGUGCAGUUUAUCAGCUCUGCUCUUGGGUGUUUAGGUGUCACCCCC